rnacentral:rRNA from 1 species
CCAACAAAGGCCUUUACUGACGCUAAAGCUCGAAGGUGCGGGGUAUCGAACAGGAUUAGAUACCCUGGUAGUCCGCACGGUAAACGAUGGAUGCCCGCUGUUUGCGAUAUACUGUGAGCGGCCAAGAGAAAUCGUUAAGCAUCCCACCUGGGGAGUACGCCGGCAACGGUGAAACUCAAAGGAAUUGACGGGGGCCCGCACAAGCGGAGGAACAUGUGGUUUAAUUCGAUGAUACGCGAGGAACCUUACCCGGGCUUGAACUGCAGCGGAAGGAUACAGAGAUGUUGACGCCCUUCGGGGCCGCUGUGGAGGUGCUGCAUGGUUGUCGUCAGCUCGUGCCGUGAGGUGUCGGCUUAAGUGCCAUAACGAGCGCAACCCUUUUCAUUAGUUGCCAUCAGGUAAUGCUGGGCACUCUGGUGAUACUGCCACCGUAAGGUGUGAGGAAGGUGGGGAUGACGUCAAAUCAGCACGGCCUGACGGGCCGUGUGUACACACGCGUUACAAUGGGGGGUACGACGAGCGGUGUGUACACAAGUACAUUCUAAUCCUAAAAGCCUUCCUCAGUUCGGAUUAGGGUCUGCAACCCGACCCCAGAAGCUG